GGGGAGAUAACUCAGUCGGUAGAGUGCUUGCCUUCCAAGCACAAGGCCCUGGGUUCGAUUCCCAGCACCGCCCCCACCCCCCCA